rnacentral:rRNA from 1 species
CUUUACUAUACCUUAGCAUUGUGUUUUGACAUUAUGUGCGUAGCAUAGGUGGGAGACUUUGAAGCUUGCUCCUGGGCAAGUGGAGUCGCAAUGUGAAAUACCACCCUCAUGAUAUCGAAAUUCUAACUUAGUUCUGUGAAUCCAGAACAAGGACAUUGCUAGGCGGGUAGUUUGACUGGGGCGGUCGCCUCCUAAAAGGUAACGGAGGCUUGCAAAGGUCAGCUCAGCACGCUUGGUAACCGUGCGAAGAGUGCAAAGGCAUAAGCUGGCUUGACUGUUAGGCCAACACGCCGAACAGCGACGAAAGUCGGCCUUAGUGAUCCGGUGGUUCUGCAUGGAAUGGCCAUCGCUCAAAGGAUAAAAGGUA